CUCCAGCUAACGAGUCCCAAAUAGGACGAAACACGCGUCCUGGAU
rnacentral:hammerhead_ribozyme from 1 species